rnacentral:rRNA from 1 species
UACGUAGGGGGCGAGCGUUGUCCGGAGUUACUGGGCGUAAAGCGCACGCAGGCGGUCUGCUAAGUUUGGAGUGACAGUUGGUGGCUUAACUGCCAAAGUGCUUCGAAAACUGACAGACUUAAGGGCUUCAGAGGGACACGGAAUUCCGGGUGGAGUGGUGAAAUGCGUAGAGAUCCGGAGGAACACCAAAGGCGAAGGCAGUGUCCUGGGGAGGACCUGACGCUCAGGUGCGAAAGCCAGGGGAGCGAACGGG